CCCGAUUAUCGACUGUAAGCAAACAAAGAGGUGUCUGUUUGACAAUGUGUGUUUUCAACGGUGUAAAUGGACUUAAAAUAUGAACGAAAAGAUUAAUGACCACGACUAUGCUGUCCAGUUUUACACAGCAACACCAGUAUUCGACUCAAAACCGGAUGGAAAACAGAUUCAAGACAUUACUGUAUCACUCGAGAAGAAGUUGAAGUCUAACAGGAUCUGCUGUGUGCCCAAAUGUCACACCACUGGCUAAGGAUUGUUAGAAGGCCAUGGAGAGCCCAGCUAUCAUGCAUUUCCAGCUGAAGAUGAUCCAGUUCAAGCUGUUUGGUUGAAUAAAAUACGAAGAGAUGAAGACAGACAUUUUAAGAUAAGUCACAAUACGGUUGUCUGUUUUCUCCAUUUUGAACGUGACUGUCUUGAUGAAUCUGGAUUUGCUAAGCGGAGGUAUCUAAAACCAGGAGCCAUCCCUACACUAUUCGACUGCUGGAAGG